rnacentral:rRNA from 1 species
UACGUAGGGUGCUAGCGUUGUCCGGAUUUAUUGGGCGUAAAGGGCUCGUAGGCGGCGUGUCGCGUCGGGGAGUGAAAGCCCGCUGCUUAACGGCGGGUUGGCUUCCGGUACGGGCAUCGCUGGAGUGCGGCAGGGGAGACUGGAAUUCCUGGUGUAGCGGUGGAAUGCGCAGAUACUCAGGAGGAACACCGGUGGCGAAGGCGGGUCUCUGGGCCGUUACUGACGCUGAGGAGCGAAAGCGUGGGGAGCGAACAGG